UGAGGAAUAUUGGUCAAUGGACGCAAGUCUGAACCAGCCAAGUAGCGUGCAGGAUGACGGCCCUAUGGGUUGUAAACUGCUUUUAUAUGGGGAUAAAGUGGGGAACGUGUUCCCUUUUGCAGGUACCAUAUGAAUAAGGACCGGCUAAUUCCGUGCCAGCAGCCGCGGUAAUACGGAAGGUUCGGGCGUUAUCCGGAUUUACUGGGCGUAAAGCGCACGUAGGCGGACUUUUAAGUCAGGGGUGAAAUCCCGGGGCUCAACCCCGGAACUGCCUUUGAUACUGGAAGUCUUGAGUAUGGAAGAGGUGAGUGGAAUUCCGAGUGUAGAGGUGAAAUUCGUAGAUAUUCGGAGGAACACCAGUGGCGAAGGCGGCUCACUGGACCAUUACUGACGCUGAGGUGCGAAAGCGUGGGGAGCAAACAGG
rnacentral:rRNA from 1 species